rnacentral:rRNA from 1 species
GAUGAACGCUGGCGGCGUGCCUAACACAUGCAAGUCGAACGGAGUCCAGCCUUUAAGACCUUCGGGUCAAAGAGGGGAAGACUGAGUGGCGGACGGGUGAGUAACACGUGGGCAACCUGGCUCAUAGAGGGGGAUAACAGAGAGAAAUUUCUGCUAAUACCGCAUAAGCACACACUGCCGCAUGGCAGAGGGUGAAAAGAGAAUCGCUAUGAGAUGGACCCGCGUCUGAUUAGCCAGUUGGCAGGGUAAGAGCCUACCAAAGCGACGAUCAGUAGCCGAUCUGAGAGGAUGAACGGCCACAUUGGGACUGAGACACGGCCCAAACUCCUACGGGAGGCAGCAGUGGGGGAUAUUGCGCAAUGGGGGGAACCCUGAUGCAGCGACGCCGCGUGAGUGAAGAAGUAUUUCGGUAUGUAAAGCUCUAUCAGCAGGGAAGAUAAUGACAGUACCUGAAUAAGAAGCCCCGGCUAACUACGUG